UUUGUCACCCAGCCUCAACUUACCUAUAGUUCUGUAAAAAUGUUGUUCACCUUUUUUGACUUUAUUAUCUGCAUACUAUAGAUGUACUUUCAUGGACCACUGAAAGGAGGAAAUGGCCCGCGUGCUUUGCCCAAGAGUAUGAUAGGCAGCAGGCUUUUAAGGGGCAGCCAGAAAGAAGGAGGGGCAAUGUAUUUUCCAAAGAAGCAGAAUGCAAACAAGAAGCAAUGGAUGGAAACUGAACAGAGAGAAGCAGCCUAGAACUAGGGAGAAAUUUCCUGACUCUGAGGACAAUUAACCAGUGGGAGGGUUUGCCUUCAGAGGUUCCCAUGGGGGCUCCAUCACGGAUGGCUUUUAAACACACAGGACAGACAUUUGUCUGAAGUGGUUCUGGGUCUCCUGCUUGAGCAGGGUGGAGGAACAGAAGACCUGCCAAGUUCCUUCCAACCCUGUCACAAACCUCCAG